rnacentral:rRNA from 1 species
CGUCGUGAGACAGUUCGGUCCCUAUCCGUCGCGGGCGUUGGAAAUUUGAGAGGAGCUGUCCUUAGUACGAGAGGACCGGGAUGGACUUACCGCUGGUGUACCAGUUGUCUCGCCAGAGGCAUCGCUGGGUAGCUAUGUAGGGAAGGGAUAAACGCUGAAAGCAUCUAAGUGUGAAGCCCACCUCAAGAUGAGAUUUCCCAUUUCUUUAAGAAAGUAAGAUCCCUGAAAGAUGAUCAGGUAGAUAGGUCAGAAGUGGAAGUAUAGUGAUAUAUGGAGCGGACUGAUACUAAUCGAUCGAGGACUUAACCAA